rnacentral:rRNA from 1 species
AUUGAACGCUGGCGGCAGGCCUAACACAUGCAAGUCGAGCGGAUGAAGGGAGCUUGCUCCUGGAUUCAGCGGCGGACGGGUGAGUAAUGCCUAGAAUCUGCCUGGUAGUGGGGGAUAACGUCCGGAAACGGGCGCUAAUACCGCAUACGUCCUGAGGGAGAAAGUGGGGGAUCUUCGGACCUCACGCUAUCAGAUGAGCCUAGGUCGGAUUAGCUAGUUGGUGGGGUAAAGGCCUACCAAGGCGACGAUCCGUAACUGGUCUGAGAGGAUGAUCAGUCACACUGGAACUGGGACACGGUCCAGACUCCUACGGGAGGCAGCAGUGGGGAAUAUUGGACAAUGGGCGAAAGCCUGAUCCAGCCAUGCCGCGUGUGUGAAGAAGGUCUUCGGAUUGUAAAGCACUUUAAGUUGGGAGGAAGGGCAGUAAGUUAAUACCUUGCUGUUUUGACGUUACCAACAGAAUAAGCACCGGCUAACUUCGUG